UUUCUCAGGGCGGGGUGAAAGUCCCCACCGGCGGUGAUCCGGCUUCGGUCGGAAGCCCGCGGGCGGCUCUUCACGGGAAGAGCUGCAGAUCCGGUGAAAAUCCGGGGCCGACGGUAACAGUCCGGACGAAAGAGAAUG
rnacentral:ncRNA from 1 species